UACGUAGGGACCAAGCGUUGUCCGGAAUUAUUGGGCGUAAAGAGCUCGUAGGCGGCUGUCCACGUCGGAUGUGAAAGCUCGGGGCUCAACCCUGAGAGGCCAUUUGAUACGGGACGGCUAGAGGUAGGUAGGGGAGAUUGGAAUUCCUGGUGUAGCGGUGAAAUGCGCAGAUAUCAGGAGGAACACCGGUGGCGAAGGCGGAUCUCUGGGCCUUACCUGACGCUGAGGAGCGAAAGCUGGGGGGAGCAAACAGG
rnacentral:rRNA from 1 species